rnacentral:rRNA from 1 species
AUUGAACGCUGGCGGCAUGCCUUACACAUGCAAGUCGAACGGCAGCACGGGGGCAACCCUGGUGGCGAGUGGCGAACGGGUGAGUAAUACAUCGGAACGUGUCCUGUAGUGGGGGAUAGCCCGGCGAAAGCCGGAUUAAUACCGCAUACGCUCUACGGAGGAAAGGGGGGGAUCUUAGGACCUCCCGCUACAGGGGCGGCCGAUGGCAGAUUAGCUAGUUGGUGGGGUAAGGGCCUACCAAGGCGACGAUCUGUAGCUGGUCUGAGAGGACGACCAGCCACACUGGGACUGAGACACGGCCCAGACUCCUACGGGAGGCAGCAGUGGGGAAUUUUGGACAAUGGGGGCAACCCUGAUCCAGCAAUGCCGCGUGUGUGAAGAAGGCCUUCGGGUUGUAAAGCACUUUUGUCCGGAAAGAAAACGCCGUGGUUAAUACCCGUGGCGGAUGACGGUACCGGAAGAAUAAGCACCGGCUAACUACGUG